GAUGAACGCUGGCGGCGUGCUUAACACAUGCAAGUCGAACGGAAAGGCGCUGAUUGCAGUCUACUCACGUGGCCAACGGACGGGUGAGUAGCGGGUGGUCUACCCUGCACUUAGGGUUAGGCCUGGGAAGCUGGGUCUAGUACCGGCCAGAAAAUAUAUUUAAUGUGAUGGUUGGAAAGUUUAUUCGGUGUAGGAUGAGCUUGCGGCCUAUCAGCUUGUCGGAGGGGUAAUGGCCUACCAAGGCGGCGACGCGUAGCGGGGCUGAGAGGGUGGACGGCCACAUUGGGACUGAGAUACGGCCCAGACUCCUACGGGUGGCAGCAGUGCGGAAUCUUGCACAAUGGGCGCAAGCCUGAUGCAGCGACGCUGCGUGGGGGAUGACGCCCUUCGUGUUGAAAACUCCUUGCGCUAGGGACGAAGCUCGUUGUGACGGUACCUAGAUAAGAAGCACCGGCUAACUACGUG
rnacentral:rRNA from 1 species